UUGACUUGAUCAUGUCCCAACAUGCCCUGUGAAGUAAUUACAAGACUCCAAGUUACCACAUGGCUAGAAAAAUAACCAGAAAUAUAUGCACUUUGUUACACUAUCAUCAAUACUAAAUAUUAUGCACUGUCAGGAUAAAUAUUCUGCAAAAUCACUUCAAUCUAGGAUAGAAAGAGCCCCAGAAAAUAAUAUGCACUGGCAGUAUUUGGCAGAAAUGAGUCACAAGUUUGAAGAGGGAGGACAAGAAAAUACUAUACAUUGGCAGUUUCCAUAUACUAGCUAAUUAAUCAACUUGGAUUGUGAGAAUGACUUAUUCUUUGAUCAUAUAACAUGAAGAGUUAAUAGCACCAGUUUUACAGAAAUGAGGUCCACAAAACCAAUGGAACCAUAUCUGACCACAUGUUCAGCUACCAUUUUUUGCAAUGUACUUCCUAGUUACUACUAAAUUACAGAAGGAAAAAAAAUCUCAGAUAUUGUAUCAGGUUUUAACCAAAACCAAAUGAUGACAAUCACGAAAAAAAUAACUCCAAGUAUAUGUGCUUUCUGUCCUCAUUCUUGCCAAAAAAAUAACGUGCAGAUCACAAUCACGAAUGGGAGAAGCAUGCACUACAACCAGAAAAAAUAACAGCAAAUCACAAUCAUGAAAGGGAGAAGCAUGCACUACAACCAAAGACACCACCAGAAACACCACCAGCAAGUAUAUGUGCUUUCUACCUAAUCUGAACUAGAUCAACCUGCAGAAGAACAAGCAAUCGGCAUCAUGCUAGCAUCAGCCAAAGUCUCCAUACCAUCAUAUGGACGAGGAAGAAUUGUAUCCCUUUUCAACACACAAGUCACAAUGACCUCACAAUAUUGCCUACCAAUGGGCUGACCUCCAAGUUUGAUGCUUGGUUUAGUUCCAAUAAUUAUUCCUUUAGCCACAGCUUGAUCAGAUCUCAACAAGGCAUACAAAAUGACUUCCUUUCCAACCUAAUACAAAUGAGUGAGAAUGGAAUUCAAAGUACUGCAGGGUAAUAAAAUGGCAAGUUGAAAAUAUAAGAUAAAAGUAUUACUAGAGCAUCAUGGUCAG